GACGAACGCUGGCGGCGUGCUUAACACAUGCAAGUCGAACGGUAAGGCCCUUCGGGGUACACGAGUGGCGAACGGGUGAGUAACACGUGGGUGAUCUGCCCUGCACUUCGGGAUAAGCCUGGGAAACUGGGUCUAAUACCGGAUAGGACCACUGCCUGCAUGGGUGGUGGUGGAAAGCUUUUGCGGUGUGGGAUGGGCCCGCGGCCUAUCAGCUUGUUGGUGGGGUGAUGGCCUACCAAGGCGACGACGGGUAGCCGGCCUGGGAGGGUGACCGGCCACACUGGGACGGAGAUACGGCCCAGACUCCUACGGGUGGCAGCAGUGGGGAAUAUUGCACAAUGGGCGCAAGCCUGAUGCAGCGACGCCGUGUGAGGGAUGACGGCCUUCGGGUUGUAAACCUCUUUCAGCACCGACGAAGCGCAAGUGACGGUAGGUGCAGAAGAAGGACCGGCCAACUACGUGCCAGCAGCCGCGGUAA
rnacentral:rRNA from 1 species